rnacentral:lncRNA from 1 species
UAGGCAUGAGGCUCAGGAAAUCCAAAGGCCUUAAAUUUCAAACAAAUUUGGGGGUCUUCAGGAACAUACCAAAGUGGAGUCUAACUUGACCAAUGCAAAGACCAGGGCUAGUGUUAUAACAUGAAGUUGGAAAGGGAGGUAAUGGCAAAUUGUGUAGGGAUCUGAAAGUUAAGGUAAAGUGUUUGGGAUAAUAUUUAAAUACAAACAAAACUCAUUUGAUGAAUUUAACUUGGAAGUAACAUGCUUUGGUUGGAAAUUUUAAAAGACCAUUCUGGUUUCUGGAGAAUGAAUAACAAGGGACAAAAGAACAGAAGCAAGAAGAUUAGUUAAAGACAGAAAUCAAGGAGGACAUGUAGGUUUUUAGCUCAACCAUCUGGGUAUAUUUCCUGAGAAGGUGGAACCAGGGGGGAUAGUGAAGAUAUGGCUCAAGAUAAGAGUGAGGAGACUUCUGAUUUAACAGCAUCACUAAAAUUAAGAAAAGUUCAAGAUUUUAACUCUAACGCUAAUAUUAUCCUGAACAUGGAUCCCAACCUCAUAUCUGAUUGUUUUAUAAAAAUAAACAAAAUCAAGUCAGACAAAAAAGGAAGGAUGGAAGGAAGUAACAAAGGAAAAAAGAAAGGAAGAAAAGCC